rnacentral:rRNA from 1 species
GUGUCAGCAGCCGCGGUAAAACGUAGGUCCCGAGCGUUGUUCGGAGGAACUGGGUGUAAAGGGUUUUUAUGUGGUUGUCUGUGUCUCAUGUGAAAACUCAGGGCUCAACUCUGAGAUUGCGUGGGAAACUAGGCAGCUAGAGGACGGUAGAGGGGAGUGGAAUUCCCGGUGUAGCGGUAAAAUGCGUAGAUACCGGGAGGAACACCGGUGGCGAAGGCGGCUCUCUGGGCCGAUCCUGACGCUGAGGCGCGAAAGCUAGGGUAGCGAACCGGAUUAGAUACCCGGGUAGUCCUAGCCGUAAACGAUGGGUGCUAGGUGUUGGGGGGUAAAGACCCUUCAGUGCCGAAGCUAACGCGAUAAGCAUCCCACCUGGGGAGUACGGCCGCAAGGUUGAAACUCAAAUGAAUUGACGG